rnacentral:rRNA from 1 species
GACGAACGCUGGCGGCGUGCUUAACACAUGCAAGUCGAACGGAAAGGCCCUGCUUUUGUGGGGUGCUCGAGUGGCGAACGGGUGAGUAACACGUGAGUAACCUGCCCUUGACUUUGGGAUAACUUCAGUAAACUGGGGCUAAUACCGGAUAGGAGCUCCUGCUGCAUGGUGGGGGUUGGAAAGUUUCGGCGGUUGGGGAUGGACUCGCGGCUUAUCAGCUUGGUGGUGGGGUAGUGGCUUACCAAGGCUUUGACGGGUAGCCGGCCUGAGAGGGUGACCGGCCACAUUGGGAAUGAGAUACGGACCAGACUCCUACGGGAGGCAGCAGUGGGGAAUAUUGCACAAGGGGCGGAAGCCUGAUGCAGCAACGCCGCGUGCGGGAUGAAGGCCUUCGGGUUGUAAACCGCUUUCGCCUGUGACGAAGCGUGAGUGACGGUAAUGGGUAAAGAAGCACCGGCUAACUACGUG